UUGCCAGACUCCUACGGGAGGCAGCAGUGGGGAAUAUUGGACAAUGGGGGGAACCCUGAUCCAGCGACGCCGCGUGAGUGAAGAAGUAUUUCGGUAUGUAAAGCUCUAUCAGCAGGGAAGAAAGAAAUGACGGUACCUGACUAAGAAGCCCCGGCUAACUACGUGCCAGCAGCCGCGGUAAUACGUAGGGGGCAAGCGUUAUCCGGAUUUACUGGGUGUAAAGGGAGCGUAGACGGCAAUGCAAGUCUGGAGUGAAAGGCGGGGGCCCAACCCCCGGACUGCUCUGGAAACUGUAUAGCUGGAGUGCAGGAGAGGUAAGUGGAAUUCCUAGUGUAGCGGUGAAAUGCGUAGAUAUUAGGAGGAACACCAGUGGCGAAGGCGGCCUGCUGGACGAUGACUGACGUUGAGGCUCGAAAGCGUGGGGAGCAAACAGGAUUAGAUACCCUUGGUA
rnacentral:rRNA from 1 species